UGGGGAAUAUUGCACAAUGGGCGCAAGCCUGAUGCAGCAACGCCGCGUGAGGGAUGACGGCCUUCGGGUUGUAAACCUCUUUUAGUAGGGAAGAAGCGUAAGUGACGGUACCUGCAGAAAAAGCACCGGCUAACUACGUGCCAGCAGCCGCGGUAAUACGUAGGGUGCAAGCGUUGUCCGGAAUUAUUGGGCGUGAAGAGCUCGUAGGCGGGUUGUCGCGUCUGCCGGGAAAGCCCGGAGCUCAAGUCCGGGGCUGCGGUGGGUACGGGCAGGCUAGAGUGCGGUAGUGGAGAUUGGAAUUCCUGGUGUAGCGGUGGAAUGCGCAGAUAUCAGGAGGAACACCGAUGGCGAAGGCAGAUCUCUGGGCCGCUACUGACGCUGAGGAGCGAAAGCAUGGGGAGCGAACA
rnacentral:rRNA from 1 species